rnacentral:rRNA from 1 species
GACGAACGCUGGCGGCGUGCUUAACACGUGCAAGUCGAGCGGGGCGAGGACUACGGUCCAACGCUAGCGGCGGACGGGUGAGUAACGCGUGAACAAUCUGUCCCAGACAGGGGGAUAACACUUCGAAAGAAGUGCUAAUACCGCAUAAGACCACAGCUCCGCAUGGAGCAGGGGUAAAAGGAGCAAUCCGGUUUGGGGUGAGUUCGCGUCUGAUUAGCUAGUUGGUGAGGUAACGGCCCACCAAGGCGACGAUCAGUAGCCGAUCUGAGAGGAUGACCGGCCACAUUGGAACUGAGACACGGUCCAA